GUAUUGGCCUACCGUGGCAAUGACGGGUAACGGGGAAUUAGGGUUCGAUUCCGGAGAGGGAGCCUGAGAAACGGCUACCACAUCUAAGGAAGGCAGCAGGCGCGCAAAUUACCCAAUCCUAAUACAGGGAGGUAGUGACAAGAAGUAACAAUACAGGACUUUUUGGUUUUGUAAUUGGAAUGAGUUAAGUAUAAACCCCUUUACAAGUAUCAAUUGGAGGGCAAGUCUGGUGCCAGCAGCCGCGGUAAUUCCAGCUCCAAUAGCGUAUAUUAAAGUUGUUGCAGUUAAAAAGCUCGUAGUUGGAUUUCUGUUAAUAAUUUAUAUAAAAUAUUUUGAUGAAUAUUUAUAUAAUAUUAACAUAAUUCAUAUUACUAUAUAUUUUAGUAUAUGAAAUUUUACUUUGAGAAAAUUAGAGUGCUUAAAGCAGGCAUAUGCCUUGAAUACUCCAGCAUGGAAUAAUAUUAAAGAUUUUUAUCUUUCUUAUUGGUUCUAAGAUAAGAAUAAUGAUUAAUAGGGACAGUUGGGGGCAUUUGUAUUUAA
rnacentral:rRNA from 1 species